UGCCUACGGGGGGCAGCAGUAGGGAAUUUUCGUCAAUGGGCGCAAGCCUGAACGAGCAAUGCCGCGUGAACGAGGAAGGUCUUCGGAUCGUAAAGUUCUGUUGAAGGGGAAAAAGAGCGGAGAGAGGAAAUGGUCUCCGAUUGAUAUUACCCUUCGAGGAAGUCACGGCUAACUACGUGCCAGCAGCCGCGGUAAUACGUAGGUGGCAAGCGUUGUCCGGAUUUACUGGGUGUAAAGGGCGUGUAGCCGGGCUGACAAGUCAGAUGUGAAAUCCGGGGGCUCAACCCCCGAACUGCAUUUGAAAC
rnacentral:rRNA from 1 species